AACAACACCAACAACGUCUCCUCCACCAGCAACCUCCACUCCUCCACCAGUGUCAGCCCCACCUCCAGUCACCCAAUCCCCACCUCCAGCUACACCUCCUCCGGUCUCAGCCCCACCACCAGCCUCCCCUCCUCCAGCCACACCACCCCCAGCAACACCUCCUCCCGCCACACCUCCACCAGCAACACCUCCUCCAGCCACACCGCCACCUGCUACUCCACCACCAGCAACCCCUCCUCCAGCUGUUCCUCCACCAGCUCCCUUGGCUUCUCCGCCAGCUCUUGUUCCAGCUCCAGCUCCAG
rnacentral:lncRNA from 1 species